rnacentral:rRNA from 1 species
UACGAAGGGGGCUAGCGUUGUUCGGAAUUACUGGGCGUAAAGCGCACGUAGGCGGAUAUUUAAGUCAGGGGGUGAAAAUCCCCAGAGCUCAACUCUGGAACUGCCUUUGAUACUGGGUAUCUCGAGUAUGGAAGAGGUGAGUGGAAUUCCGAGUGUAGAGGUGAAAUUCGUAGAUAUUCGGAGGAACACCAGUGGCGAAGGCGGCUCACUGGUCCAUUACUGACGCUGAGGUGCGAAAGCGUGGGAGCAAACAGG